ACUUUUUCAAGGAGAUGCUGCUGGAGUCUGGACUGAUCUGGAUCCCAGACCUCAGUCUGAGGGUUAUUCAGAAUCACCUCUACAAAUCGCAGAAACAUGCACUGGCUUCAAAGGAGACCUGUGUCCUAAAGGUAUACAAUGCACACUGGUAUAUUUGUUAUUAAAAUAUCUAAUUAAUAGGGUUGAUCACCCAAAAUAGCCAUAAUUUACUCAGAUUCAGAUUAAUUCUUUAUUGGGUUAGGGUUAUUCACUCUAAUGUCAUUGCAAACCUGUGUGACCUUCUUCUGUAUAAGAUUAUGAUUAUUGUGUACUGAUUGUUAAAGCUCAAUGAAUCUUUUGCAGGGUCAUAUUGCCCAGUGGGUUCAUCUCUUCCUCAGCCCUGUGAUUCAGGCUCUUAUUGUAAUCAGACUGGUCUGCACACUCCUGCAGGCCUCUGUUUUGCUGGAUUCUUCUGCUCCACUGGCUCCUCAAAUCCCAGUGCUAUGCUUUGUCCUCCUGGACACUACUGUCCCCAGGGCACACAACUACCCCUGCCCUGUCCACAAGGCACAAUAAGGAACUCUGCUGGAGGAUCUAUUGCAGACGAUUGUCUUGAAUGUCCACCAGGAUAUUUCUGUGAGCGAAAAGGCCUAACCAAGCCCUCUGGUCUGUGUUCUGAGGGCUAUUACUGCCCUGGAGGACAGAACACAUCCAAACCACCAGAGUAUGUGUGUGGAGCAGGCCACUUCUGUGAAAGUGGCAGCAUCAUAGAGAGGCCAUGUUUCCCAGGAAGCUUCCAGCCCAGUCUAGGCCAACAUAGAUGUGAGGUGUGCCCUGCCCACUUUUUCUGUCAU
ensembl:lncRNA